rnacentral:rRNA from 1 species
UAGCGGAGCGUGUGGUUUAAUUCGAGGCUACGCGAAAAACCUUACCUGGGUUUGACAUCAUGGUUAAUCUUGUGGAAACACGGGAGUGCUUCGGCCACCAUGACAGGGGCUGCAUGGCUGUCGUCAGCUCGUGUCGUGAGAUGUUCGGUUAAGUCCGAAAACGAGCGCAACCCCUAGCGUUAGUUACAAGUGUCUAGCGUGACUGCCUGCGGCAAGCAGGAGGAAGGGGGGGAUGACGUCAAGUCAGCAUGGCCUUUAUAUCCAGGGCUACACACACGCUACAAUGGCGCGUACAAUGGGCAGCGAAGCCGCGAGGCGGAGCCAAUCCUGCAAAGCGCGUCGUAUUUCGGAUUGCAGGCUGCAACUCGCCUGCAUGAAGUCGGAGUUGCUAGUAACCGCGA